rnacentral:lncRNA from 1 species
CUCCAUCUCCUCCAGGGCUUUCUGGAUCACCCGUUUGCCAUAGCGCUGCUCCAAAAACCUUUUGGUUGCCUCAUCAGCUUCUAAAUAUUCAUUACGCAAAUCCAUCAAUUUCUCUGCAGUUAUUUUACACGGCGAGACCCCGUGGUAAGUCAUCUUGCACAGAGUACAAAAAGCGUAGUUGCAGCAGGAGCAGAUGCCCAUGGUGCAGCCCGGCUCCUGCAUGACGGGCGUCUGGCAGCCCGGCCGAGGGCAGUACACGACGUCUGCCAUCAGGUCCAAGGUGGACUGCAGAAGCAGGCGGU